CCUACGGUGGUCAGCAGUGAGGACUAUUUGUCAAUGGGCGCGAGCCUGAACCAGCCAAGUAGCGUGAAGGAUGACUGCCCUACGUGUUGUAAACUUCUUUUAUCAAGGAAUAAAGUGAGGCACGUGUGCCUUUUUGUGUGUACUUUAUGAAUAAGGAUCGGCUAACUCCGUGCCAGCAGCCGCGGUAAUACGGAGGAUCCGAGCGUUAUCCGGAUUUAUUGGGUUUAAAGGUAGCGUAGAUGGGUUGUUAAGUCAGUUGUGAAAGUUUGCGGCUCAACCGUAAAAUUGCAAUUGAUACUGGCAGUCUUGAGUACAGUUGAGGUAGGCGGAAUGCGUGGUGUAGCGGUGAAAUGCUUAGAUAUCACGAAGAACUCCGAUUGCGAAGGCAGCUUACUAAACUGCCACUGACAUUGAUGCUCGAAAGUGUGGGUAUCAAACAGGAUUAGAUACCCUGGUAGUC
rnacentral:rRNA from 1 species